UUUCGAAUUUGAAUGCACGCCCAAACAAAGCAAAUCAGCUCAACUAAUCUUGUCUCAACAUCCUGGAUCUGGCAAUCAGCCAACCAACAUUAAAUCGAUACAACCGCAGCAGUACCAACUACUCCAAAUCCAGCAACAGCCCCUCAAAAAAGGACCACAUAGCAAUUACUGCUCAAACGAACAACAGGAGUUUACGAAUGAUGGACACAUCGGAAAACAUUUCAUCGGCACAUUCUGCCUUAAAACAUGUCUGCCACUAUUUUUGAAAAUUUCACUGCCUACACAGUGCUCGUGAUUCCAUUCCAGCAGCAGCAAGCAAUCACUAUUCGAGUGCUUAUCGCCAACAUUUCACAGCAAGCUCAGCAGCAGAACCACCUUCAACCACAACAUCAGAAAAUUAAGAUUUCUUCCAGACCAUGACCAUCAUCCUAAAGGUCGGUAGCAAUAACGUUCAACCGACAGUACAACCUGGUCAGCAACCGCAAUUAGUGCAAUAGAUCCAAGCCAAAUGUAGAAGACCAUUGACCAACUGCAAAAAAAAGAUAGCAACAGCGCAUUCAAACACAGUAGCAGCAGCAUACUAUACUGUACCAUGCGGUGUGCAGGACUUUUUUAUUCAGUUGGUGCGGCAAGAUCGAACACCAACAACAUAAUAUCAUGGUAAUCACCCAGCAAGAGAACGCAGUGAUAAUGGGCCAACAGAAAACACAACAUCAAGAUGCUCGGAAAGGACUUUCUCUUUCGAACAAACAUAAUGGCACGUCAUCUUCAAUCGGCUAACCGUUUGGAAUAAGCGCUCAUCAUCGGUUUCAUGGCAGGGAAGUGAGCAGGCAAAAGAAGGCAUCGUUUUUUCCGCAAGGUCGCUCUGGUCAAAAUUUCAGCGAAUUGCAAGGAAUAAACCACCCGAGGGACAGUACCCGUGCUGAUUCAGGACGAUUUCCCAUACUUUGUACCUUGCUAUUGAAUUUUAAUACCCGAUCGAAACGAUGGCAAGCGCUGCCGAUAACUGGGUCAAAAAGACGACGGAUCAAGAAAUUUCUGCACUCGGUUAGCGAACUGAGUACAUAUCAUCAAGGAUAAGGAUUCA